UCUGAUGGAGCACGCCGCGUGAGUGAAGAAGGGUUUCGGCUCGUAAAGCUCUGUUGUUAAAGAAGAACGUGGGUAAGAGUAACUGUUUACCCAGUGACGGUAUUUAACCAGAAAGCCACGGCUAACUACGUGCCAGCAGCCGCGGUAAUACGUAGGUGGCAAGCGUUAUCCGGAUUUAUUGGGCGUAAAGCGAGCGCAGGCGGUCUUUUAAGUCUAAUGUGAAAGCCUUCGGCUCAACCGAAGAAGUGCAUUGGAAACUGGGAGACUUGAGUGCAGAAGAGGACAGUGGAACUCCAUGUGUAGCGGUGAAAUGCGUAGAUAUAUGGAAGAACACCAGUGGCGAAGGCGGCUGUCUGGUCUGCAACUGACGCUGAGGCUCGAAAGCAUGGGUAGCGAACAGGAUUAGAUACCCUGGUAGUCCAUGCCGUAAACGAUGAUUACUAAGUGUUGGAGGGUUUCCGCCCUUCAGUGCUGCAGCUAACGCAUUAAGUAAUCCGCCUGGGGAGUACGACCGCAAGGUUGAAACUCAAAAGAAUUGACGGGGGCCCGCACAAGCGGUGGAGCAUGUGGUUUAAUUCGAAGCUACGCGAAGAACCUUACCAGGUCUUGACAUCUUCUGACAGUCUAAGAGAUUAGAGGUUCCCUUCGGGGACAGAAUGACAGGUGGUGCAUGGUUGUCGUCAGCUCGUGUCGUGAGAUGUUGGGUUAAGUCCCGCAACGAGCGCAACCCUUAUUACUAGUUGCCAGCAUUAAGUUGGGCACUCUAGUGAGACUGCCGGUGACAAACCGGAGGAAGGUGGGGACGACGUCAAAUCAUCAUGCCCCUUAUGACCUGGGCUACACACGUGCUACAAUGGAUGGUACAACGAGUCGCGAGACCGCGAG
rnacentral:rRNA from 1 species